rnacentral:rRNA from 1 species
UUCGGGGUGCACCAGGCGCGAAAACUUUACAAUGCUGGCAACAGCGAUAAGGGGACCUCGAGUGCCAGGAUACAAUCUUGGCUGUCGCGAUGCCUAAAAAGCAUUGCAUAGCAAGGGCCGGGCAAGACCGGUGCCAGCCGCCGCGGUAACACCGGCGGCUCGAGUGGUAACCGCUAUUAUUGGGUCUAAAGGGUCUGUAGCCGGCCGGAUAAGUCUCUUGGGAAAUCCAGCAGCUCAACUGUUGGGCUUUCAGGAGAUACUGUUCGGCUCGAGACCGGGAGAGGUGAGAGGUACUUCAGGGGUAGGGGUGAAAUCUUGUACUCCUUGAAGGACCACCAGUGGCGAAGGCGUCUCACCAGAACGGAUCUGACGGCAAGGGACGAAAGCUAGGGGCACGAACCGGAUUAGAUACCCGGGUAGUCCUAGCCGUAAACGAUACUCGCUAGGUGUCAGCCACGGUGCGACCGUGGUUGGUGCCGUAGGGAAGCCGUGAAGCGAGCCACCUGGGAAGUACGGCCGCAAGGCUGAAACUUAAAGGAAUUGGCGGGGGAGCAC